rnacentral:rRNA from 1 species
AAGUCGAACGCGAACGGUUUCCUUCGGGGAACCUAGUAGAGUGGCAGACGGGUGAGUAACACGUGGGCAACCUACCCCGAGGCGGGGGAUAACCACUGGAAACGGUGGCUAAUACCGCAUGAGACCACGACCCUUCGGGGCUGUGGUUAAAGGCUUCGGCCACCUUGGGAGGGGCCCGCGGCCGAUUAGCUAGUUGGUGAGGUAACGGCUCACCAAGGCGACGAUCGGUAGCUGGUCUGAGAGGAUGAUCAGCCACACUGGUACUGAGACACGGACCAGACUCCUACGGGAGGCAGCAGUGGGGAAUAUUGCGCAAUGGACGAAAGUCUGACGCAGCAACGCCGCGUGGGUGAUGAAGGCCUUCGGGUCGUAAAGCCCUGUCAGGUGGGAAGAACCGGGUCCUUCGGGGCCUCUGACGGUACCACCAAAGGAAGCACCGGCUAACUCCGUGCCAGCAGCCGCGGUAAUACGGAGGGUGCAAGCGUUGUUCGGAAUUACUGGGCGUAAAGGGCGCGUAGGCGGACCAAUUAGUCUGGUGUGAAAGCCCGGGGCUCAACCCCGGAAGUGCACUGGAAACUGUUGGUCUUGAGUUCGGGAGAGGAAAGGCAGAUUUCCCGGUGUAGGAGUGAAAUCCGUAGAGAUCGGGAGGAAAAUCAGUGGCGAAAGGCGGCCUUCUGGAACGAAACUGACGCUGAGGCGCGAAAGCGUGGGGAGCA